rnacentral:rRNA from 1 species
AUUGAACGCUGGCGGCAGGCCUAACACAUGCAAGUCGAGCGGAGCGGCGGACGGGUGAGUAAUGCCUAGGAAUCGGCCUGGUAGUGGGGGAUAACGUCCGGAAACGGGCGCGAAUACCGCAUCCUAUCAGCUGAGCGUAGGUCGGAUUAGCUAGUUGGUGGGGUAAAGGCCUACCAAGGCGACGAUCCGGAACUGGUCUGAGAGGAUGAACAGGCACACUGGACCUGAGACACGGUCCAGACUCCUACGUGACGCAGCAGUGGGGAAUAUUGGACAGUGGGGCAAACCCUGAUGCAGCAACGCCGCGGGCGGGAUGACGGCCUUCGGGUUGUAAACCGCUUUCAGCCAUGACGCGGUAGUGGCAGAAGAAGCACCGGCUAACUACGUGCCAGCAGCCGCGGUAAUAC